UUACGGCCACAUCACGUUGAAACACCGGUUCCCGUAUAAACAUUGAAGUUAAGCAACGUCGAGCCUGGUAAGUACCUAGAUGGGUGACCGCUUGGCAAUAAUAGGAGCUGUAAG
rnacentral:rRNA from 1 species